ensembl:lncRNA
AGAGGAGGGUCACACACACACACACACACACACACACACACACACACACNAGUUUAUUGCUGAAUAAAUCAAUACCCAAAUACCGACCACAGCCUUACUUUCAUGAUUUACAGCCAUGAUUUCACUAACCAAUUUUUGUUCUACAGUGCUGUUUAUUUUAAUAUUAAUUUAUUGUAUUAAUUAUAUAUUAUUUAUAUUAUGUUAUUGUUGACUUUGUCUUAGGCUGCGUUUGAAGGUCUGAUGCUUUGCUGACAUUCAGGCUUAAAAAAAGACAAAAUAAAAAGAUAAAGUGAACGAGGUGGAAAAGCAAAAAAGUGAACAGUUCAGUAUAUUGAUGAGGAAAGACCUCUCAUAAAUUAUUAAGUAUCUGAUAACCUUGCACAGUAGUUUUCUUUCUUGCCCCAUCAAUGUGGGAAAUGGCUUGUCUUAUCUUAUCAGCUGUUGACUAUCUCAUUCUCCCUGAGCUUGCAGUGUUUGCAUAGGGGCUGCUGCAGAGAGCUUGCAGGUGUGAAGUCUGCUCCGUCAGGGUUUUAGCCCUUGGCAUAGUUGGCUCCCUUCACUGAAUUGUUGAUAUAUCUCACCCUCUGGCAUCUUUCCACCUUUCACAGAAUCCCUUGUUCUUCUUUUUUGCUCCUUAUAACUCUGCCAGAAGAAUCCCUCAUCUGUGGUUCCUGUUUGAACAACACACAGAAAAAGAAAGAGCAGGUGUUGUGCUGGUCCGGAUCUGUCCAGUUAGAGGAGAACCACUGAGUCAUUGCAGCCCAGGCUCACAAGACAGCUGCAGGGGAGCUCGGACCCACUGUUGGCCCCACAGCUGUCACUGUUCCCUGGAUAGAAAAAGAGCAACCCUGCUACUCUUAACCAACCACAGUGACACUGAAAUGCAUUGUUUAACAUCAACAUUGUUAGAGCGCUCUCAAAAGGAAGAGAUCUUGAAGCCCCCUGCUGAUUGUAUGGGGUGGAUUCUGAAUUCUCAACCCUCACGUCCCCUCAGGGCCGUCAGGACCGCCACCAUCAGCCCAGGUAAUCCCUAAUAGCUUUACUGCAGACCUAUCCCAAAAUAUCCAACAACAAACCCACCCCUACACUUCCAUCUACCAAGCUUACCAUAUGCCACACAAUUAGACCAUGUUGAGUAAACAUCACUUAACCCACUUUAAAGCUGAUGAGCUAAUUGAGUUUAAUUACAGUCCCACUGUUAUUGCAAGAAUGCCUGGAGGGAAGGAAUUUGUUCUAAUUAAGAGGCUGCUGUUUGAGGUGCUGCUGUGUCAUGAAAUCCAUUUCUGGGAUGAAGACCUGUACUUCUCUCUGAGAGUUUUAUACAUUUGAUAUCACAUCAGGACAUUGCUGUCAUUUAGAGGAAUCAGAAAUAAUCAAUAAUCAAAUAAUCAUACCCAAGGAAGGAAAUAGCUUGCUGUGUUCAUAGAUGAAAAUAACUAAAGGGAUUGUUGACCCACAAAUGAAAAUUCAUCAUUUACUCAACCUAAAAGAUGAAAACUAGUCAUCAUUUACUCACCCUCAUGUUCUAAUGAUAAAAAACAAAGAUAUGAUAGGAUUCUUAAGAUUUUGUUAAUAGUAACCAAUGUUAAUGGUAACCAAAAUAUUACCAACAUUUUUGAGUCAAAAAGCGUGAGAAGUAUCAAAUUAUGUCAAAAUUCAAACAUUUAUAAAAUAUAACAGUUGUCAUAGACAAUAUUUGUAAUGUUAAACAU